GGAAAGGUGGCAGAGUGGUCGAUCGCGCCGGUCUUGAAAACCGAUGAGCUGAGAGGCUCCGGGGGUUCGAAUCCCUCCCUUUCCGCCA
rnacentral:tRNA from 1 species